rnacentral:rRNA from 1 species
AGAGUUUGAUCCUGGCUCAGGACGAACGCUGGCGGCGUGCUUAACACAUGCAAGUGGAGCGACGAACCGGGGCUUGCCCCGGGGCAGAGCCGCGAACGGGUGAGUAACACGUGGGUAACCCACCCCGAUGAUUGGGACAACCCGGGGAAACUCGGGCUAAUACCAAAUGUGCUCGUAGACCAUGAGGUCCAUGAGUAAAGAUAGCUUCGGCCUUCGCAUCGGGACGGGCCCGCGGCCCAUUAGCUUGUUGGUGAGGUAACGGCUCACCAAGGCGACGAUGGGUAGCUGGUCUGAGAGGACGAUCAGCCACACUGGGACUGAGACACGGCCCAGACUCCUACGGGAGGCAGCAGUGGGGAAUCUUGCGCAAUGCGCGAAAGCGUGACGCAGCAACGCCGCGUGGAGGAAGACGGUCUUCGGAUUGUAAACUCCUUUCAGUUGGGACGAAGCUCAACGGGUUAAUAGCUCGAUGGAGUGACGGUACCUUCAGAAGAAGCCCCGGCUAACUACGUGCCAGCAGCCGCGGUA